AUUUUUUUUUCCCCUUUUCCCCUCAAUCCAAACAAAGGUUAGGGUUUAAUAAUUAAAAACCUAAUUCAUUGUAGAAAGCGUUCAGGAUUUCAUUCCCGUCGAUUCUACGAUGAGAAUUCUCUUUAUGUAGGGGCAAGAGAGACUCUCGCCAAAAUCAUUGCCUCGUUUAAAUUCUUCGCAUCCCAAACUCACUUCUUAUAGGAAUUGCUGGUGUUGAUGUUUUGGCGUUCACUUCCGCGGGGAACUCUGAUUCCAGAUUGGAUCAGAAAGACAUCUGAAUUGUUUCUUUAAGAACUGAACUUUAAAAGAUCAUUUAAUCUUUAAGAGAAAGAAUGUCUGGGAGAAAUCGCGGCCCCCCUAUUCCAAUGAAAGGCUUACCUCACGCUGGCCUACCACCUGCCAUCCAUGAAGCACAUUUUGGCAGAGGGCUUGGACCAAUGCCCCCCCAUCCCCAUCCAGCCCUACUGGAGGAAAUGAGAGAAACCCAAUUUGGGAUAGAUCCCAGGCGGCUUCCCCCCCAUCC
rnacentral:misc_RNA from 1 species